rnacentral:rRNA from 1 species
UACGUAGGGUGCAAGCGUUGUCCGGAAUUAUUGGGCGUAAAGAGCUCGUAGGCGGUCUGUCGCGUCGGCUGUGAAAACUCGGGGCUCAACCCCGAGCCUGCAGUCGAUACGGGCAGACUAGAGUGCGGUAGGGGAGACUGGAAUUCCUGGUGUAGCGGUGAAAUGCGCAGAUAUCUGGAGGAACACCAGUGGCGAAGGCGGCUUCCUGGCCUGUAACUGACGCUGAGACGCGAAAGCGUGGGGAGCGAACCGG